rnacentral:rRNA from 1 species
UACGUAGGGGGCAAGCGUUGUCCGGAUUUAUUGGGCGUAAAGAGCGUGUAGGCGGCCUGACAGGUCUGCUGUGAAAACUCGAGGCUCAACCUCGAGAUGUCGGCGGAAACCGUCUGGCUAGAGUCCGGAAGAGGAGAGUGGAAUUCCUGGUGUAGCGGUGAAAUUCGUAGAUAUUCGGAAGAACACCAGUGGCGAAGGCGGCUCACUGGACCGGUAUUGACGCUGAGGUGCGAAAGCGUGGGGAGCAAACAGG